rnacentral:rRNA from 1 species
AACGAACGCUGGCGGCAGGCUUAACACAUGCAAGUCGAACGGGCGUAGCAAUACGUCAGUGGCAGACGGGUGAGUAACACGUGGGAAUAUCCCUCUCAGUUCGGAAUAACUCAGGGAAACUUGAGCUAAUACCGGAUACGUCCUUCGGGAGCAAGAUUUAUCGCUGAGAGAUUAGCCCGCGUCUGAGUAGCUAGUUGGUGAGGUAAUGGCUCACCAAGGCGACGAUCAGUAGCUGGUCUGAGAGGAUGAUCAGCCACACUGGGACUGAGACACGGCCCAGACUCCUACGGGAGGCAGCAGUGGGGAAUAUUGGACAAUGGGGGCAACCCUGAUCCAGCCAUGCCGCGUGAGUGAUGAAGGCCUUAGGGUUGUAAAGCUCUUUUGCCAGGGAAGAUAAUGACUGUACCUGGAGAAUAAGCCCCGGCUAACUUCGUGCCAGCAGCCGCGGUAA